rnacentral:rRNA from 1 species
GGUGAUCUGCCCUGCACUUUGGGAUAAGCCUGGGAAACUGGGUCUAAUACCGAAUAUGACCGCGCACUUCCUGGUGUGUGGUGGAAAGCUUUUGCGGUGUGGGAUGGGCCCGCGGCCUAUCAGCUUGUUGGUGGGGUAAUGGCCUACCAAGGCGACGACGGGUAGCCGGCCUGAGAGGGUGACCGGCCACACUGGGACUGAGAUACGGCCCAGACUCUACGGGAGGCAGCAGUGGGGAAUAUUGCACAAUGGGCGCAAGCCUGAUGCAGCGACGCCGCGUGAGGGAUGACGGCCGUCGGGUUGUAAACCUCUUUCAAUAGGGACGAAGCGCAAGUGACGGUACCUAUAGAAGAAGGACMAGCCAACUACGUGCCAGCAGCCGCGGUAAUACGUAGGGUCCGAGCGUUGUCCGGAAUUACUGGGCGUAAAGAGCUCGUAGGUGGUUUGUCGCGUUGUUCGUGAAAACUCACA